rnacentral:lncRNA from 1 species
ACACAAGCUAUCGCUGACUGCCGGUGCAUGUUGGAAAUGGGCCACAGGGCUGGGCAUGAUAUGAGCUGCCUGGACAUUGGAGGGGGCUUCCCCGGAAUGGAGGGCUCCGGGCCCAAGUUUGAGGAGGUGAGCUGGUACGGGCGCUGGGGGUGUUCAGGGAGGUCCGCAUGUGUGCCCAGGCAUGGGUGUGUGUGGGGAGUCUGUGUUCAUGCAUGUACCUCUGUGUGUUUAGGUCUCUCUGGUGUAUCUCUGUGCUCUGUGUGCACAGGUGGGUAUGUGUGUAUGUGCAUGUCUUGGCUUUGAUAUCCCCCAAAAGCAGACUCUGAGACAAACACUUGGAUACAAGUAGUUUUUUUGGAGAUGAUCCGUGGAAGCGCCAAUGAGGAAGUCAGGAAAGAGAGAUAGAAGGGAGAAAAGUCAAAAGAAAAUUCAUCUAUGAGCUGGUUACCACUGUGGGCCGCUGCACCAGUCCCCCUGGGGACAAUGUAGAACCUCAGAAUCAUCCCACUAGAGGACAUGGGGCUGGUCCUUUAUUCACCAACUCCUGUCCUUCUUUGGUUGAAGGCUGUGGUCUGGGGGUGUUAAUUUCCUCACAUUCCAGCUAGUUUCCGAGGGUGCUGGAGAAAGCCCACAGAAUGAGAAGCAAAGGGAGGCAGGCGCUGGAGGCUGGAAAUCAUUUUGCACGGGCAGAUGAGCUCAGGUAGGCUGAGGGGAGGUGGCACAGGGUGUCCACUGCAGCUGCAGCAAGGUGUCUGGGGGCUGUGCCUCUCUGUGUGUCUGUGUGUCUGUAUGUGUAUAUGUUUUCCUGUAGAAUGUAGAAUUCUUGUUAGCAUCACCAAUACAGUUACAGUUACAGUUGGGAGUUUACAUUCCCUGGGUCCACAAGACACUCGCCUUCUUACGGUGCAUCAGAUUAAAUUGCUGCACCUUUGGACUUCUCAGGGAGCCUGGUGGCCAGCAACCCCACACAAGUGACCUCCUGUCUCUCAACUUCUGUUUCCUCUUUGGUAAACAGGGAUAAUUCUAAUGCCUACCUGCAGGGUGCCUCGGGGAUGAAAGGACUGAUGCAGGUAAGGCGUUGGCACAGGCGCUGGCACAUCAACACGUGCUGGAUGAGUUAACCUCUUCCUGCUGUCCCUCCACCCCAUUCCAGUUGGCGAGAGUGAUCAGUGCUGCCCUGGCCCAGGACCUCCCUGAGGAGCGUGGUGUCAAGGUCAUCGCAGAGCCUGGCUGCUUCUAUGUGGAGUCUGUCUGCAUGGCCGCUGUCAACAUCAUUGCCAAGAGGGCUGUGCUGGAGCCCGCACCUGUGAGGUGGAAGGGGAUGCUUUUAUGAUCACUUCCUGAAAGAGAGGCUCACAGAACUGAACUGAUGUGCUUGUCAUCACACAGUGGAGGACUGUCUAACACCAAGUCUCUCAUUCCCUUGGUGGCCAGCCCCUCUCAGACCUCAGCAAGUCCCUCUGGGCCUUCAUGGGAGAGCAGUGUCCAAGGAAUGCGGUGUCACGCUUGCGGCUCUGCCAAGGGCUUCUUCUUCGGGCUCUGCCUCUAGCUGCUUCUGACAGAGGCGGAUUCAUCAUGAAGCAAACGCGGCUGAACCCCCCAGUGGUCUUCAUUCUUCUCCAACCCCUUUCAAGACCCAGGGAUGGGCUCAGCAAUUCUGUUUUAAUAAUUUUGCAUUCUGUCCCUUAAAUCAUAAAGAGAGCCCCCAAUCUGUAAAGCUUCUGAUCCCACACAACCUCUCAGGGCUCCAGGGUCCUGAGGAGGAUGGCCAGGUCACUGUGGGCCUGUGGUGGAGCCAGCGGGCACCCAGGGCUUCCUGGUGGGCCAGGUCCCUGGUCAUAGACUGAGCCAGCCAGCAUCAGCCUCCGAUCUCCAGGCCCCUGCGGUGAGGGCCCCAAUGCCCCUGAUAAGGCUCUGCUCCUAAAGGGCUGUUGGCCUUGAACAAGCUGCUCUCCUGCCUCAGUUUCCACUUCAGGAUGGAGACAUGAAUGAGAGAAGUGUCCCUGAAACUCCUGAUGGCUUUCCAUUUCCUGGUUUCCUGUCUUUCCUGAGGCUGAAUUCUUCGCCUGCUUUCUCUGAGAUCCCUCACUUUCCUGCCAAGAAAUUUCCUCUUUAGUCUGUUCAGAGUGAAGUGCAAAUCAAAAUAAAAAAGUGCAAGUUCAAAGUGCAAUCAAAACAAACAAACAAACUUUGGCUAAGGCAAAACCAAACCAAAACAAAACAACCCAACUAUCUCUUUUAGUAGAGUUUUGACGCUGCAGCAUGUGUUGAAUAGAGCCCAUGUGAGUUAGGCUGCCCAGGGCCUGAGUGACAUUGCGUACUGUGGGGAGUGUGUGCUUUUGUUCAAGCGGUGGCUCUCAGGAAGCCAGGAGGAGAUUUGGACAAAAGUUGGAAAGGUUGGAAGAAUAUGUAAGCUUGGACUGACAUGGCUGAUUGGGUUUGGGCCAGUUUGAGCUGGUUUUAUCUGGUUGGAUCCAAUACAGUACGGACUCGGGAGGCCAAGGAAGGUCUUGGCAAGUUUGGACCAGUUUUUGCCAUUUGAGCUGACUUGGGCUGGCUUGAGCUGGUUGCUCAUCACAGUGGCAAAAAAGAAGAACCCUUGGGCAGGGGUGUUCAGGGUCAGGAGUGGAGGAAGGGAAGCUAUGCUCAUUGUUCGUGGCACUUGGUAGAGCUGUGCAUCUUUACAAAAGCAAUUUACAGUACAGGCACCCCUCAUUUUCUUGCACUUGCUUUGUUGCACCUGCAGAUAUUUGUUGUGUUUUUGUUUUGUUUUGUUUUGUUUUACAAAUUGAAUAUUUUGGCAAAAGUUUGUGGCAACCCCUUGUUGAGCAAGUGUACUGACACCUUUUUCCCUAAAGCAUGUGCUCACUUUGUGUCUCUGUGUCAUGUUUUGGUAAUUUUUACAAUAUUUCAAACUCACUCUUUUCUUUCUUUUUUUCUGUCUCUCUUUCUUUCUUUUCCUUCCUUCCUUCCUCCUUUCUCCUUUCCUUUCCUUUCCUUUCCUUUCCUUUCCUUUCCUUUCCCUUUCGGGUCUAGCUUUGUUACCCAGGCUGCAGUAUGGUGAUGCAAUCUUGGCUCACCCCAACCUCUGCCCAGGUUCAACUGAUUCUCGUGUCUUUGCCUCCCAAGUAGCUGGGACAACAGGUGCAAGGCACCACGCCCAGGUAAUUUUUUUUUUUUUUUUGUAUUUUUAUUAGAGAUGGGGUUUCGCCAUGUUGGCCAGGCUGGUCUCGAACUCCUGACCUCAAGCGAUCUGCCCAUUUCAGUCUCCCAAAGUGCUGGGAUUACAGGUGUGCGCCACCACACCCAGCCCAAACUUUUUCAUUUCUACUGUAUCUGUUAUGGUGAUCUGUGAUCACUCAUGUUUGAUGUUUCUAUUGUAAUUGUUUUGGGGUGCCACAAAUUGCACCCAUAUAAGACAGAGAACUUAAGAAAUAUUGCAUGUGUUCUAACUACUACAUCAAUCAGUGGUUCCUCUACUCCUCUCUCCUUCUCCUCAGGCCUCUCAAUUCCCUGAGACCCAACAAUAUUAAAAUUAGGCCAAUGAAUAACCCUAAAAUGGUCUCUACAUGUUUAAGUGAAAAUGUCACACAUCCCUUGCUCUAAAUCAAAAGCUAGAAAUAUUAAACUUAGUGAGGUAAGUGUAUUGAAAGCCAAAAUAGGCCGAAAGGUAGGCCUCUUAUACCUAACAGCGUAGUUGUGACUGCAAAGGAAAAGUUAUCCUCAGCCUUUCAUGUGUAUUGGCUUAUUCAGUCCUCAUAACAACCCUACCAAGUAGCAUGUGUUAGCCUCACCAUUUGGCAGAGGAAAAUGGAAGCACAGAAAGGUCAAGUACUUGCCCAGAUCAGCAGCAGAACAGGCUCAAAGGUUGGCAGUCUGGUUGCAGAGUCCAUGAACUUCACUACCACACUCCACAGCAGUUGUGAGACCAUGGGCAAGCCAUCUAAACUUUUGAACUUUAAUAUCUUCAUCCAUAAAAUGGGGACGAUAAUACCCUGCCCCAUUGCCCAGUGAGUGUGUACACCCUUAACUCGGUGCAUAGGCUUGGGUUGGCUUGAUCCGGUCUCAUUCAUUUCUCCCCACCUGACCCUACACUUGAGUCAGAGUAUCUCAUGUUGGCUGAGCUUGAAGUAUGCAGGAGCACACCCCAGAAAGGCCAGGGCACAAGCCCUGCUUGGGGUGGAGCAGGGAGGGCCUGCUCUGCCCCACUGGGGUGUUCUUAGGUGGAAGUGGGUGUGGGAUGGUCCCUCUGGGAGAACUCUCUCCCUCCAGCCUCCCUGCAGAGUCACCCAGGGAACUGAAUCACAGCACAAGUGAAAUGGGAAAAGUUCCCUUAUCCCCCUCGCAGGGCCUGCAAUGGGGGUGUGGCUCGCUUCUUUGGUACCCUGCUGCUCAAACCUCUAGGGGGAGCAUGCAGAUGGGCAGGUUGUGGGGCUUCAACCCCACGGCAGUGUCUAGGGGUGAAUGCUUACAGUUCCUGAAGCCCCAAUGGGUGUGUGUUACAGAGCGCUCUUUUAGUUUUGCUAUCUGUAGGCAGCUUGUGUUAAUCAGCUCGAUUAGAUCCUCUGCCUUAUCACAAGGACAGAGGGCUUUCUGUAUCCCAGGGUUUUUGCCUUGGUGUACUGGAGGAAUCAGAUCACACGUGGGCUUAGGGACCGAGUGCAAGUUUUUAUUGAGUGGAAGUAGCUCUCAGCAGAUGGGGGAGCCAGAAGGGAGAUGGAGUGGGAAGGUGAACUAUCAAGAUAAAAUCAGUCUACUACUCCAUAACAGAGGUAAGGAAGAGUAUGCAUGGAAUACAGGACAUCCUUUAGAGCAUCUCUUAGUAUUACCAUGCCCUUUGAUUAAGGUCAAUGGGAAACUACAAUAGCGCAAUCCAGGCAGGACUACAAAUAGCCCAGACCCCUCAGGAAUGAAGGUUUGGGUCACUCCACCAGGAAAAAAACCACAACCUGCUGAGGUGCUUGCUGAAGGCAAAGGGAAUACAGAAUGGGUAGUAGAAGAAGGUAAUCAUCAAUACCACCUAUGACCAUGUGACCAGCUGCAGAAAUGCGGACUGUAACUAUCAUGAGUAUUUCCUCCUUCUUUGGCUAAAAACAUGUUUGUGCAUGUAUACACUUGUACGAAGAAAAUAUAUCCAUUUUAUUUCCUUUUCCUUUAUCAUGUGACAUAAGAUUUACUGACUUCAUAUCAACAUUUAAGUAUUAUUAACUUUAUGUAAUAAUAUUUGGGUUGGGGAUUGGUGGGUUUCCAGUUGUACCAAGGAUAGUUGUAUUAUUUUAGGCAUAAUUAUGACCUUAUUAUUGUCUUUAUUUGAAGAUUAUGUAUGAUCUCAGGAGAUGUGUAUGGGUUCAGCUUGACAAGGGGUGGACUUACCAUGGUUAAUACUGAGUGUCAACUUGAUUGGAUUAAAGAUGCAAAGUAUUGAUCCUGGGUGUGUCUGUGAGGGUGUUGCCAAAGAAGAUUAACAUUUGGGUCAGCGGGCUGGAGAAGGCAGACCCACCCUUAAUCUGGUGGGCACCAUCUAAUCAGCUGCCAGCGAAUAUACAGCAGGAAGAAAAAGGUGAAAAGGCAAGACUGGCCUAGCCUCCCAGCCUACAUCUUUCUCCCAUGCUGGAUGCUUCCUGCCCUUGAACAUCAGACUCCAAGUUCUUCAGUUUUGAGACUUGGACUGGCUCUCCUUGCUCCUCAAGCUUGCAGACAGCCUAUUGUGGGACCUUGUGAUCAUGUUUUAGCACCUCUUACGAAUGAGUGUCUGAGCAGCCAAAAAAUAAAUAAUGAAUCAUCCAGGCAAAGGGGAAGAAAAAUGGACUUGGCCAGAGAUGGGGAAGAACGUACGCAAAAAGAUGAGGUCGUUCAGAUUGGAAGUUGGAUUGGAGGGCGGACCAAAGGAGAAGCUGCUGAAGUAGAUGUUAAAGAUGGAGAGAAGUGGACGGCAGAGACAUAGAGGAGGAAAAGUCAGCAAGACCCGAGAUGUGUAUGGAGAGUUAGAGUGUGGGAAGUGUGACAUGUAACUGAAUCGGAUGAUGGCAACUUUCACUGGGCAGUGAAAGGUCAGGUUGGUGGUAAAAGUCAUGAGUUGACUUUGGGGCAUCUUGAUAUAGUCACUUCCAAUAUCAUGUGUUUCAACAAGCCCGUGUUCCUUCCUGGUCAGUUCCCCCAGCUAGAGUGUGUUUUACAUCCCGCAGCAUUGUAUGAGAACUGCUAGAAUAUCACUCACCACUUCCCAUAGAGAUUCUGUUUGUUCAUCUGCUUGUCCCACUGUGUGCCUUACACAUAGUAGGUGCUCUUGGAAUGUGUGUGAGAUGGAUUAACAUGAGAAGUGCUUCUCUGCAUGAUUUCACCAUUGAAGUGUUGAAAGCAACUAGCACUCCUCCUUCCUGACCUCCAGGCUUCCACCCAGCUGUGGGGACUGCUGUGGUGGAAGGGCCUAGUCUGAAUCUGGACAGGGGAGGUGCCUGCAAAUAUUUUCGUGCCUGCAAAUAUUUUUGUGCCUCGGGACAGAUGGAUGUCCAGUUUACUGUCUGCUUCCUCAGUGGUUCUAGAGCUGCUCAGUCGCAGGCUCCAGAUGUCUGCUUCAGAAUUCAAGAACACCUUCCUGAGCUGGGAAACAGAUCCAAGGAAAUAUCAGCCAGAGGCUUCAUUUUAUCAUCUGUGGAAAUGCAAGAUGUUAGAGCACCUAGGAGGGUCUUAACGUGCAAAACACUGUCUUGAGGCUGCCUGCAGAACAGAGGGUCAUCUGCUUUCAUUAGAUUCUCAAGGGAGCCUCAACAGGCUACACCUGAACCCCAGGUUUGGGGCAUCUCUCCAGCCCUCCCAGCUCUGACAUCAUCAUCACCAUUAACAGCUGAAAUGUGUGAGGUGGUUGGGAUGUACCAACAACCCUCCCAAGAGUCCCAUAUCUACCUGACCUCAUUUGACCUUCACAGCAACCCAGUGACUCAGCUGCUAUUUGGCCCACGUUUUACAAACCUGAGUCAGUGUGCUUUACCUCAGUGACCCAAGAACCCAGGUGCUAGAGUCAGGCCUGCAUCCAAAUCAGGGGUGGGAUCAGUGGUGUGCCCUGAACAAAUCAUUAUCCUCUUUUUUGUUUUAUUUUUUGGAGACAGAGUCUCACUCUGUCACCCAGGCUGGAGUGCAGUGGUACAGUCUCAGCUCACAGCAACCACUCUCUCCUGGGUUCAAGUGAUUCUCCUGUCUCAGCCUCCCAAGUAGCUGGGGACUACAGGUGCGUGCCACCACGCUCAGCUAAUUUUUGUGUUUUAGUAGAGACAGGGUUUCACCAUGUUGCCUAGGCUGGUCUCGAACUCCUGAGCUCAGGUGAUCCACCUGCCCCGGCCUCCCAAAGCACUAGGAUUACAGGCGUGAGCACCCCACCCAGCUCAUUACCCUCUUUUAACUUCAAUUUUCUCAUCCACAAAAUGAGGGCAAUAAUCUCCUUUCUUCCCCACUAGCCAUGUUCAUGAAAGUACUUAUUUGCCCAUUUUAAAAUAUGUAGCAAUGUGCCCCAGAAAGGCUGGGGCAUGAGUCCUGCUUGGGGUGGAGCAGGGAAGGCCUGCUCUGCCCCACUGGGGUGUCCUCAGAUGAAAGUGGGUGUGGGCUGACUUUCUCUGAGCUCCCUGUGGAGUCACACGGGGAACUGGGUUGAGUCACAGCACAAGGGCACUCACAUGCCCCACCCCGAGGAGGUCCCUGUUCUGACAGAAGCCCUGAGCCGUGACUGUGGACUGACACCCACUGCCUCUGUGACCUUGGGUGGGUUACAUAACCUCCCACAUGAGAAGGAGGCGGAGGCACCCGGGCUUGUGGCCUGAGCUAACCUGGGUAGUGGGAGCCCUAUCUGUGAAUUGCCAAGGGACUGCCAUGGGGACUGGUGAGAACACAGCUCUGCAAGGCCCUUUUGAUUUGUUUUAACCUUUAACUUUUCAAAAAUUUCAAAUUUAAAGGAUGCAUGACACAGUUGAAGUUUAUCACAAAUGGACUCACGAGUGUGUCUCCUCAGCUCCCAACUCCCGGACUCCUGACCUCCAAGGCCAAUACUUCGAAUUCUGUUAGGCAUUUCUUCUAGCAUUUAUCUCAAUAGUUCCAAAUAACAAGCUCGUGAUGCGAUUUCACAACCCUUGCUUCAAAUGUCAUGUAUUGACUUUCCAUAUGAGGGAUGGUCCUUGUUUCUGUUAUAUCUCCCUGCUUCCUCUUUUCAGUUCUCUGAAUAUAUGUUUUAAAAAUUUAGGCUGGACGCGGUGGCUCACGCCUGUAAUCCUAGCCCUUUGGGAGGCCGGGGCAGGCAGAUCACCUGAGAUCAGGAGUUUGAGAGCAGCCUGGCCAACAUGGUGGAACCCCUUCCCUACAAAAAUACAAAAAUUAGCCGGGCAUGGUGGCAUACGCCUGUAGUCACAGCUACUCUUCAGGCUGAGGCAGGAGAAUUGCUUGAACCGGGAGGUGGAGGUUUCAGUGAGCCAAUAUUGCGCCAUUGCACUCUAGCCUGGGUGAUAGAGCCAGACUCUGUCUCAACAAAACCCAAGGGCGGAGGUUGCAGUGAGCCAAAAUCAUGCCACUGCACUCCAGCCUGGGCGACAGUGUGAGACCCUGUCUUAAAACAGAGCAAACAAACAAACAAAAAAAAAAAAAAGAGAGAAAGAAAAUGGGAGAAGGGGGCUGUUCCAUGAAAGGGCCUUAUAUCCAAAAUGACCCCCAAAUGCCAAAGGAGCUGGAAACCAGAAAAGGAGGGAAACAAAUUCAGUUUGGUCUAGAGUGUUUUACUGGGGGAGAACUUACAGGCAGAAGCGUAGUCUUGGGAUUUUAGCUGCAAGGCAGAAGAUAGAUCUCCACACUGCUACUCCCCAGACCCGGGGCUUCUGUACCAUAGGGAAAGGGCGUGUGUGUCCAGCAAGACAAUAAAAGGCAGCCUCCAGAACAGGCAAGAAUGUUACAUGCAUCAUGGCCUAUGAUUUGUGUGAUGACAUUCAGAUUGUCAUCUUCUUACACUAAGGAUAGUAAAUAAAGUAAGAAUCAGAAGGCAUUUGCAGGACUGGGGCUAAUUAGAAUACAACAUGGCACAUUCAUAUCCAAGAUGGAGUCACUUCCUGUCUCCACAGGGGCAUUGAAGGAAAGGUGACACUUACAAUUCUGAUUGGUGCUUAGUGACAUUAUGCAUAAAUAAAGAAAUAUGCAGUUAACAUAUAUAGGGUAAAAAGUUGUGGAAUACGUAGGGGUCUUAAGGUCUGGAGAGGGGUGAUUGAUUCUACCCUGCAUUUGUGCUUCAUCUGAUAGGCAAGGUUACAAUCAGUCAUGCCAGUGAAAUAUUUGACAGACUCCACCCUAGCAGGCGAGACUUCAGCUUUAGUUCAUAGGCCUUAUAUUAGUACCUGUUUGUCCAGCCUGCAGCCAUCUUGGGCUGUGUUUUAAAACUUUUUCUUUCAGAUUUUCUUUUUUCUAAAAAUCUUUCCCUUUUGGUUAAAUUCUCCAAAAGAGGACUUUGAAAACCAAAUAAUAUAUCUGAUGGAUUUGAAGAGGACAGGUCCCCUUUGCUUGGAAUUAUAGGGCAUAGGGGAAUCAAAUUGGAAUUUUUAAGUGCCCUUGUUCUAUUUUUCACUCCUAUAUGAAGUUCUGUCAUUUGGUUUGUCAGUGAGGAUGCAAAAAUUCCUGUAUUUCCUUUCAGAAUGCGAGAGGCUCUCCUGUCAUGCCAAUAUCUCCUCACGUUAUGGAGAAAAGAGGUGAUCAUUGCAAUUAGAAUUAUUUUCUUAGGCUGUUCCUCAGAUGCGAUGAUGUGUUGCAUGGUCAACCAUAUUGCUGAAGAGCCUUGAGGAGUUGGGAGGAAGAAUAGGCCAUUUGAUGUGUUUUAUAAACCUUGGGACUUUAGGAUUGAAAAAAUUUAAAACAAGGCCGGGCGCGGUGGCUCACGCCUGUAAUCCCAGCACUUUGGGAGGCAGAGGCGGGCAGAUCACGAGGUCAGGAGUUUGAGACCAGCCUGGCCAACAUGGAGAAAUCCUGUCGCUCCUAAAAAUACAAAAAUUAGCUGGCCGUGGUGGUGGGCGUCUGUAAUCCCAGUUACUCAGGAGGCUGAGGCAGGAGAAUCACUUGAACCCAGGAGGCAGAGGUUGCAGUGAGCCAAGAUCAUGCCACUGCACUCCAGCCUGGGCAACAAGAAUGAAACUCUGUCUCAAAAAAAAAAAAAGAAAAAAUUUAAAAUAGAAAGCCCUUCCUCAGUUGAUCAGAAAUAGGGAAAUAAUGUGUUGGACAAAUAGUCAUCAGAAGACUACUCUUACAUACAUGCUACAGCUGUUAGUUCAGAUCAAUGAACUCACUUAAUUUGGGCUGGAGUUCUAUUCUUUCAGUGACAUUUGCAAUUUUUGCAGCAUUUAUAAUAUUUGUAACGUAGACAUACUAGAAAAAUAAUUAAUAAUAGUGUGAACAACUGAGAGGUCCUUUCAGGUAAAGACAAUGAAGAAAGGAAACAAUCUAUCAUAGAAAAAAACCUUGAACUUGUAUUUUGAUAGUCUUAUGACUAAUCUAAUAAUUUUCCUCCCCCCUUUGUUUGUUUGUAUUUGUACCUUACGAUUUUUUUAGUGUAUUUCACUUAGAACUGUAACUAAUUGAUGAUUUAUCUAAUUGCUCUUCUAGCCAUUCAUUUUUUUGCUGGAAAUACAACUUGAGGUGAACUGAGUUUCAAUUUUCAAAAUUUUUUAUUAUCAAUGUCAUAAUAAUGUCACAUAUCAUAAUCUUCAGUGUUAUACUUGUCCUAAAAGUAACUUCUCUAUGAACUCCAUAUUGCACCAAAUGGCAGUAUAAUUUAAAUCAAAUAUUGUCUGGUUGCAAACUUAAUUGCUGCUACCUAUCUCACCCUAACUUGGAACACCCAACAUAUUUGGAUUCACAACCUGUACCUAAAUUGCACUUCUGCUAUAAUUGUUCAAUGGCAACAACAUGUUUGGUGGAUAAAACAGCACUGGCCAACUAAGGUAAAAAUGAGAAUGGUUAUAAUCUCAUUUUUUUCCUUUCCCAACAAAAACAUUCUUUUCCCAUAUACCACAUAUUAUUUUGUUUUGUUUUUGAGACAGGGUCUUGCUCUGUUGCCCAGGCUGGAGUGCAGUGGUGUGAUCAUGGCUCACUGCAGCCUCGACCUCCCAGGCUCAAGUGAUCCUACCACCUCAGCUUCCCGAGUAGCUGAGGCUACAGGCAUGGGCCAACACCCCCAGCUAAUUUUUUUUUUUUUUUUUUUAGAGAUGAGGUCUUAUUAUGUCGCCUGGGCUCCAUAUAUUAUUUUGAAUAGGGGUAGAAAUUAGAGGUCAUGUUUCCAUGAUUUCAGGAUUCCAAAUCUAACAGGGACAGUACUAGUCUCCCUGAAUGUGUUUACAAUCUAGAACUGAAAUUGGAUUCCAAGUAUUAUUAUUUAAUAUGGUCCAUCAACUGCCCAUUGGGAGAAUGUAGGUAUUGUUAAAAUAAUCCCUGUUCCUGCUAACUGUACUAUGUAAUAGGUCUGGUGACUACAUAUAUGGGGUGCUGUAUUAGUGUGUUCUCAUGUUGCUAAUAAAGACAUACCCAAGACUGGGUAAUUUAUAAAGAAAAAGUGGUUUAAUGGACUCACAGUUCCACAUGGCUGGGGCGACCUCAUAAUCAUGGCGGAAGACAAAGGAAGAGCAAAGUGAUGUCUGACAUGGUGGCAGGCAAGAGGGCUUGUGCAGGGGAACUCCCAUUCAUAAAACCAUCAGAUCUCAUGAGACUUAUUCACUAUCACAAGAACAGUAUGGGGGAAACCUACCCCUGUGAUUCAAUUACCUCUCACCAGCUCCAUCUCAGGACCUGUGAGGAUUAUGGGAAUUACAAUUCAGGAUGAGAUUUGGGAGGGGACACAGCCAAACCAUAUCCGGUGCUAAAGCUGUAGAGUGCAGCAAAUUAGGCUACACACCCUGGUAGUAAUUUUCCAGGAAGAAGAGGAUUUUUUUCCAUAAAUGCACACCUUGUGCUUCUGUAUCCAAAAUGGUUGGCCAUGUUUUAGAGGCUUUUGCUUCCAUUUGUAUUAGCAUGGUCAAUAAACCUUGCUGAGUUUGGAUGUAUGCUCUCUCAUCGCUAGGUUUUGGUAUGGUCCCUCAUUAGUUGAGCAGUUUGACUUAUCCACUUAGCAACAGUGUCAUUAUCUUUCCAUGCAGCUUCCUGAUCCUUACUUUCCUCAUGAAAGAGUAUUUCUUCUAAUCUAUUUUGAUUGGUAAGUAUCAACUUUUCUUGUGAAUGUCUUUUUUCAUAAAAUACAUUUUUAUCUUGUCCUAAUAUCACAAGUUAUUCCCCUGUUGCACCUAAGUUUCUUUUUACCUUAGUUGGCUAGUGCUGUUUUAUCCACCAAACAUGUUGUUGCCAUUGAACAAUUAUAGCAGAAGUGCAAUUUAGGUACAGAUUGUGAAACCAAAUAUGUUUGGUGUUCCAAGUUAGGGUGAGAUAUGUAGCAGUUACCCCUAGAUAUAGUUUAGUUUGGGUAUACCAUAAGGCUUUUCACAUUCUCCCUGGUUGAAUUCCCAAAUUAUCCUCCGGCGGUAUUCUUAUCCACUAACUGGAUGAGGAUACCACUGGAGAAUACCAUUUCCACACUGCUAUAAAGAAUACCUGAGAUGGGGUAACUUAUAAAGAAAAGAGGUUUAAUUGACUCAUGGUUCCACAUGACUGCGGAGGCCUCAGGAAACUUACAAUCAUGACAGAAGCCAAAGGGAAAGCAAGGCACAUCUUACAUAGUGGUAGGAGAGAGAGAGAGAGAAAGAGUGAGGAAGUGCCACACUUAAACCCAUUAGCAAUCUUGAGAACUCCCUCACUAUCAUGAGAACAGCAUGGGGAAACCACCCCCAUGAUCCAAUCACCUCCCAUCAGGUCUCUCCCUCCACAGGUGGGGAUUACAAUUCAAGAUGAGAUUUGGGUAGGGACACAGGCCAAACCAUAUCACCGAGUAAUUCCCAUUGUAUGAUUCCAAGUUUCAUUAGAAUGUUUCAUAGACCUACAGCCACAAAAACAAAGCCUCUGACCUCUAGGGCAAGAGACACUGUGGCAAGGCACAAAAGCUGCAACUGUUUUCAAUUAUCUCAAGGACUUCAGGUAGUAAUUGAUCAUCUAGAUUCACAGUCAUGCAGUGAGCUAUUAGUAAAGUAUUAAAAACUGCCCAACCAGGCAUCGAAUUGAGAAGAAUUUUCUGGAUGUAUUUCUUUAAAUAAGGUCCCUAAUAGUAUAUUAUGCCUGAAAAGAAGGUGCCAUAGGCUAUAGGAACAUCGAACUGAUUCUAAGAAGUCAACAUCAGAGUUCCAAUAUCCUCCUGAUAUUGAAAAAGGUUUGUUCUACUUCCAUAUAAAUUAGAUGAGUGAUUUCCCAAUAAGAGAAAUGGGGAUCAAACAAAGGAGAGGAUGUUACUAGAUACUCAUUAUCGUGACAGGAAAAUGCAAAAACAAAAGGUAUAUGCAGAAGAAAAUCAUCAUGAAUACACACCUGGUCUGGUAUCUUGGGAAAUGCUGUCUACUCAGAUGUCUCCUUCCCACCUUCAGAGGAGUCAGAAAUCUUAGAGAUCUUUAAUUGGAGGUCUCUGGUGGACUUAGAAGUCCAUUUAGGUGUUGGAGCUUUUCUUAACUUAGAAAUGUGAAUCCAGGAGUCAACUCCUUCAAGUUUAGCUUCACAGUGAUUAGUCAACAAUACCUGAUAAACUCCUUUCCAAUGAGGUUGAAGCGAGACUUUUAGUUGAUGUCUUUUUCAAUCAACAGAGUCACCUGGCUAGAGAUCUUGGUAUUUGAGAUCUUCAUCUUCUGGGAGCACAGUGUUAAAAUCAGUUUUAUUGAUUUUUUUUUGAAAAGACGUUUAGUUAAGCCUUGACAAUAAUGGAGUAUAUCUCCUUUCAGUAAAGUUGGUUUAUAUAAACCACCAUCCAAUUUCAUAGGUCACCCUGUAAUUAUCUUAUGAGAUAAUUGAUGUUUUCUGAAAGGAGUUGCUCUUAGGUUGAGUGAAACCAAUGGAAGAGCCUUGGGCCACAUAAUAGGAAAAGCUUUCAUUAAUUUUUCCAGCUGGGUUAUUAUUAUUUCAUUUCUCCAUUCCACCAAUUCAGAAGACUGUGGAUGGUAAGCAAAACGAAAAUGUUGGAAAAUGAGCCAGAUUUUACAAAUGGAGUGGAUAAUCUCUCCAGUAAAAUGAGUCCCCUAUUGCGAUGUAAUUUGGAAGGAAUUCCCCAAGAGGGAAUUACCCACAGCAACACAUAUUAUUCUACUGUUUGUGCCAUGACUCUUCUGCAAGGAAAUGCUUCAGUCUGAUGAGUGAACAUAUAAAUCAUAACCAGCACGUAUUUAUAACCCUGGGCUGGAGGUAAUUGGAUAAAAUUCAUUUGCCAUAUAUUGAAAGGUCCAGUGGGCAAAGGGAAAUGCCCUUGAAAUCUGUGAAGACACUUUCCUGGAUUAGGUUUAGGACAAAUUGGACAUUUAGCAUAAAGUCUAUGUGCUAUUGUGGGUGAGGAUUCCCAAUAAUAAUUGUUUUCCCUGGGCAAUCAUUUUUUCAGGCCCCCAGUGAGUGAGCUCAUAGACAUGUUGUGACAUAGAAAAUUGAAAUCCCAAAGGCAAAACUAGUCUGUCUUUGGGUCCAUACCAUAAUUUGCAAGUGGAGAAAAAGCACCGCCAUUUUUGUUAGCUAUAUCUGCUUUCCCCUCUCUGAAGGCUUUUCUUGAGCCUCUUGGAGUUCCUUUUCAAUGGAGUGCAUUUUAAAUAUAGCCACCUCUCUAGUUUUAUUUGAUAUCAGUGUUAAUGCAGACUUUUUUGCUGUUGAAUCAGCAAAAUGAUUUCCUUUACUCUCUGGAGAGUGAAGUUGGAAAUGUCCAGGGCUAUUAUAAAUGGGCUUGAUAAUAGUCCAUUAUUUUUGUUGUUGUUGUUAAUUGGAUGGCUUCUAAAUGAUCAGAGACUUGAGAGCCACGAUAAUAGGGCGUCUGGAGGAGGUUGCUAUUUCCACAACAUUCCAAAAUCAUGAGCUACACCCAAAGCAGAAUAGCUGUCAACGUAAACAUUAGCCAUUUGAUUUUUGGCCACUUGACAAGCUCUGGCGAACCCUAUUAACUCAGCUAACUGUGCUGAUUCUACUGUAGGCAAGGGAUUGCUCUCUAUAAUGUCCACAAGAGACACAAUGGCCUAGCCUGCUCAUUAUUUUCCAAAUUCAUCCUUUAGAUACGAUCCGUCUGUGAACCAGAUAACAUCAGCAUUUUACAGCAGUGUCUCCUGUAAAUCCUGUCUGGGCAUCAAAAGCUAUUCUGUUAGUAAAAUACAGUCAUGACGUAUUUCAUCAGUUGUUUCAGGAAGUAAUGUUGUGGGAUUAAGAGAAUUACAGUAAGGGAGGAUAAUAUGUGUAGCAGAGAGUAAAAGUACUUUAUAAGAAGCUAAUCUGUUAACAGAAAAGUGUUGCAUGUAUUGUGAAUUUAAAAGAGUUUCUGCAGAAUGAGGUACAUAUACAGUCAAAGGAGCCUGCAUUACUGUUGCCUGAGUGGCCUUAAGGAGCUUGCGGCUACGGAAAUAGACCUCAGACAAGGGGGCAGCACAUGCGCUAUGGUGUGUCACUGCUGACUAUAAUGGUCAAUAGGUCUAUCUUGUCAGAUAGACAAGAUAGAAUAUCUUGUGUUUUUGGGUCAGAAUACCCAGGGUACUAUCAUGUUUUUUAUAAACAAAAGGGAAAAAUGACAGCUGAUAAUUUAGAUGGCCCAAAGCAGGGGCCCUUCUAAAAUCUUCCUUUAUUUCUUGAAUUGGUAUGUGUCCUUCUGAUGUCCACUGUAUAGAAUCAAGUUGAUCUUCUUUUAACAAUGUAUAUAAAGGCUGUGCCAUGAGAGAAAAAUUGGUGAUCCACCUACAGCAGUAACCAGUUAAGUUUAAGAAUCCCGGAGCUACUUUUUAGCUUUUGGAGUGAGGUAUGCAAGAAUUCCAGUAACUCGAUCCAGAUUUAUAUGUUGUCCCUCUUUAGAAAUUAAAUGUCCCAAAUGUUUUACUUCCAUUAAGCAAAAUAAGAGUUUUUCUGUACACACUUUGUGUUCUCUGUUUGCUAAUUGUUCUAGCAAGUAAAGGGAGUUGUUUUUACAGUCAUGCAGACUAAAGGAGCAAAACAAGAGAUUAUCCACAUACUGAAGUAGAGUGGAAUUUCCUUAAACAUUUAGCUCAUCCAGGCCAGCCCUUAACAUUUGUGGAAAAUAAGUUGGGCUUUCAGUAUGACCUUGAGUCAUAACAGUCCAGAUGGACUGGUGUCCCAGGUAAAGGCAAACAAGUAUUGACUGUCAGGAUCAACUGAUAUUUUAAAAAGCACUGCAUAAAUCAAUUGCAGUGAAAUAUUUACUGCUUACAUGUAUAUUAGAUAAAAGAGUGUGGGGGUUUGGAAUUACUGGGUAACAAGGAAUGACAAUAUUUUUAAUGGCUCUCAAAUCUUGUAUGAAUCUCCAUCCUUUCCCAUUAGGUUUUUGUACUAGAAGGAUGGGAGUAUUACAAGGACUGGUGCAAGGAAUAAUCAUUUUUUUAAUCAAUGAAAUCUUCGAUUAUUUGUUUUAUUCCUAUUAUGGCUUCCUGUUUUAAUGAAUAUGAUUUAAUAUUGGGAAGUGGCUUAUUUGAAUCCAUCUGUAUCCAUAUUGGAGUGGCUAUUAAAUUUUUCCCUAUGUCAGUAGACAACUGGGACCAUAAACAACCAGGGAUUUGGCAUAAUAAAGCAUCAAGUUCUUUUUUGUCUUACUACUUUAUGAAUUUUGAUGAUCAUUUGAUCUAUCAUUUGAUCUAAACUUCCUGAUUUAUCAUAUUCAGUCAAUGCUCUUUCAGCCAUUUUCUUUUUCUUUUUUUUUUUUUUUUUUUGACACGGAGUCUCGCUCUGUCGCCCAGGCUGGAGUGCAGUGGCAUAAUCUCGGCUCACUGCAAGCUCCGCUACAGCCAUUUUCAAAAACAUUUCUCCUCUCUUUGAAAAGGAAAUAUGAACAUUAUAAAGCUCCAGAAAAUCUCUUCCUAUAAGAUGUACUGGUGCAAAGGGCACCAAAAGAAAAGAAUGUCCAUCUAAAUGACCUAAUUGGAAAGGGAAAAGUUUUUAUUUGUAUAUAGUCAUUGGUUGAUUAUCUAAUCAACCCUAUCAUUUGAACAAUUUGAUUACUUCAAGGAAGAGGGCUCUUUAAAAAGAUAGGGUUGAGAACAGAAAGGAUAGAUCCUGUGUCAACUAAUGCCUUCGUUUUUUCUCCAUUUAUAUAUAGUUCCACUUGCCCCAGAGUGUUGCUUAAAAGACAGGGGAAGGCCCUCUUUAUCUCCUUAGAGUCUCCCUAUUCCUUUUCUCCUUUCUCUUUUUCUUUCUGUUUCUGUACCCAUUUCAACUUUCUGCAAUUUUUCUUUAGAUGUAUUAUUUUCUUGCAAUAAUAAUAGACAUCUUUAGAUGUUUAUGGGACUCCCUUUUGAAAGAGAGACUUCUGUUUAGAUCAGAUAAAUUCACCAGUACAUUGUUGAUGCUGUAAAUUCAUGAUUUUAGUGGCUUUUUAAUCUUCCUUCUGCUGUAUAACUCUAGCCAGUUUACCAGCAAGAUUCUGUAGUUCUGAAGUGUGCACAGAAUCCCAAUUUAUUUGGUGCAAUUUGACCAUCUUGGCCAAUUGCUCAUCAAGUCCAUGAAAGAAGAUUGAAUUUAAUAAAGAAUCAUUCUGAUAGUCCCUUAGACUUUCUUUAUUCAUUCCCAAAUAUUAUUUAAAAUCCCUCUCAGAUAUUUCAAAAUAGUCCAGCACAGUCGCAUUUGCUCUUUGUUUACAUUGCUGGUCUUUAGAGGAGGCAGUGGUCUUAGGAAAUAUCUGGGAAAUUACUUGUGCUACACGAUUUGCUAUUUCCCGAGUUCUUUCUUGGUCUUCGGCUUUUUCUUUAUGAAAAUUGCUUAAUGAAUCCUUCCAGUCAGCCUUUGAUAAUGAUUCCCUCACUUUUUUUUUUUUUUUUUUUUUUUUUUCAGAUACUAACAUGUGAACCAGCUGAUACACAUCUGAAGAGCCAG